UUAGUGGCAGACGGGUGAGUAACAUGUGGGUAUCUUCCCUUUGGUGAGGAAUAACACGAGGAAACUUGUGCUAAUACCUCAUAAGUCUUUACGGAGAAAGCUUUAUGCGCCAAUGGAUGAGCCUGCACUUGAUUAGUUUGUUGGUGGGGUAAUGGCCUACCAAGACUUUGAUCAAUAGCUGAUCUGAGAGGAUGAUCAGCCACAUUGGGACUGAGACACGGCCCAAACUCCUACGGGAGGCAGCAGUAGGGAAUAUUGCACAAUGGAGGAAACUCUGAUGCAGCGAUGCCGCGUGAGUGAAGAAGGCCCUUGGGUUGUAAAGCUCUUUCGUCGGGGAAGAAAAUGACUGUACCCGAAUAAGAAGGUCCGGCUAACUUCGUGCCAGCAGCCGCGGUAAUACGAAGGGACCUAGCGUAGUUCGGAAUUACUGGGCUUAAAGAGUUCGUAGGUGGUUAAAAAAGUUGGUUGUGAAAUCCCGGAGCUUAACUCCGGAACUGCAAUCAAAACUUUUUAGCUAGAGUAUGAUAGAGGAAAGCAGAAUUUCUAGUGUAGAGGUGAAAUUCGUAGAUAUUAGAAAGAAUACCAAUUGCGAAGGCAGCUUUCUGGAUCAUUACUGACACUGAGGAACGAAAGCAUGGGUAGCGAAGAGGAUUAGAUACCCUCGUAGUCCAUGCCGUAAACGAUGUGUGUUAGACGUUGGAAAUUAAUUUUUAGUGUCGCAGCGAAAGCAAUAAACACACCGCCUGGGGAGUACGACCGCAAGGUUAAAACUCAAAUGAAUUGACGGGGACCCGCACAAGUAGUGGAGCAUGUGGUUUAAUUCGAAGAUACGCGCAGAACCUUACCAACACUUGACAUGUUCGUCGCGACUCUAAGAGAUUAGAGUUUUCAGGUUCGGCCGGACGAAACACAGGUGCUGCAUGGCUGUCGU
rnacentral:rRNA from 1 species